rnacentral:lncRNA from 13 species
AUGCAAGAAAGAACAUUCUCUUGGCUUAACAAGGUUGCCUUUAUUUUAUUUUUCACAAACAUAACAUCACAUAAUUCAACAUCUACCUCAGUGAUGGAUGAAAUUACCAAGUAUGUUUCAAAAAUCCCAAGUGAAACAUCACUGCCUGUAACCAGUCAGAUGUCAAUGAGUACCACUGUUUCUUCAACUCCAACAGCAAAUACCAAUCAAUCCAUAGAAAGUAUAGCUUCCACUACAUCAAGUAGUGAUUCCAUCACUUGCUCUAAUACAUCAACAUUGGCAGUCCCUUCAAGUGAUGCCACCACUCCCUCAACAGUCACUUUUCCCUCCACUACAUCAGCAGUAACAUCAACUGUGGCCAACAUUCCUUCUACUACUUCGAAAGUCACCUCAAGUGAUGCCACCAAUCCCUCAACUAUGUCUACAGUCACUUCAAGUGAUCCCGCAACUCCCACUAAUUCAUUGACAGUCACAAGUGAUGUCACAACUCCCUCAACUACAUCAAUAGUCACUUCAAGUGAUCCCAAAACUCUGACUUCUACAUUGACAGUCAAAAGUGAUGCCACCACUCGGUCUACUAUGUCUACAGUCAUUUCAAGUGAUCCCAAAACUUCCACUACUACAUUGACAGUCACUAGUGAUGCCAUCAUUCGCUCUGCUAUAUCGACAUUGACAGUCCCUUUAAUAAGUGAUGCCACCUCUCCCUCUACCAUGUAUACAGUUACUUUAAGUGGCAACACAUCAACACCUACUUCAAGUGAUGCCACCCCUCCCUCAACAGUCACUUCAACUCAUGUAACUUCUCCCUCAACUAUGUCUACAGUCACUUCAAUUGAUACCACCCCUACUACAUCAACAGUCACAAAUGAUGCCCUCACUCGCUCUACUACAUUGAUAUCAAAAUUACAUUCAAGUGAUGCCACUAAUACCUCAACAGUCACUUCAAAUGAUAACAAAACUCCCUCAAUAGUCACUUCAAGUGAUGCCACUACUCCCUCGACUAUGUUGACAGUCACUUCAAGUGAUGCCACCACUCCCUCAACAGUCACUUCAAGUGAUCCCUCAACUCCCACCACUACAUCGACAUUGACAGUCUCUUCAAAGGACGCCACCACUCUUUCAACAGUCACUUCAAGUGAUGCUACAUCAACACACACUUCAAGUAAUGCCACCACUCCCUCACCCAAAUCAACAGUGUCUUCAAGUAAUGCCACCACUCCCUCACCCAAAUCAACAGUGUCUUCAAGUAAUGCCACCACUCCCUCACCCAAAUCAACAGUGUCUUCAAGUAAUGCCACCACUCCCUCACCCAAAUCAACAGUGUCUUCAAGUGAUUCCACCAAUCCCUCAACUACGUCAACAGUCACAAGUGAUGCCAUCACUCAUUCUACUAAAUCGACAUUGACAGUCCUUUCAAGUGAUGCCAUCACUCCCUCAACAGUCACUUCAAGUAAUGCCACCACUACGACAUUAACAGUCACUUCAAGUGAUAGUACAUCAACACCCACUUCAAUUGAUGCCACCACUCCCUCAACAGCAUCCCCAGUCAUUCAAAGUAAUACCAUUACUCCCUCAGCUACAUCGACAUUCACUUCAAGUCAUACCACCACCACCACUACAUCGACAGUAACAUCAACUGUGGCCACCACUCCCUCAACUACAUCAACAGUCACUUCAAGGGAUGCCAACACUCCCUUAACAGUCUCUUCAUGUGAUGUCACUACUCCCUCAACUACAUCAAUAGUCACUUCAAGUGAUGCCACCACUACUCCAUCAACAACAGCAGUCACUUCAAGCGUUGCCACCGCUCCUUCAACAUUCACUUCAAGUGAUGCCACCACUGCUACACCAACAGUAGCUUCAACUGCAGCCACCAUUCCCUCAACUACAUCGACAGUCACUUCAGAUGAUACUACAUCAACACCCACUUCAAGUGAUGCCACCACUCCCUCAACUGCAUCGACAUCAACUUCAAAUGAUGCCACAACUACUACACUGACAUUAACAGUCAUUUCAAGCGAUUCCACCACUCCCUCAUCUACAUCAAUAGUCACUUCUCGUGAUGCCACAGCUACUACAUCAACAUCAGCAUUCACUUCAAGUGAUGCCACCUCUCCCUCGACAUCAAUAUUUACUUCAAUUGAUGCCACCUCUCCCUCGACAUCAACAGUCACUUUAAGUGAUGCCACCUCUCCCUCAACUACAUUGACUUUCACUUCAAGUGUUACCACCACUACUACACCAACAGAAAUAUUAACUGUGGCCACAAUUCCUUCAACUACAUUGACAGUCACUUCAAGUGAUGACACCACUGCUUCAACAGUCACUCCAAGUGAUGCCACCAAUCCCUCAACUACAUCAACAUCAACUUCAAGAGAUGCCACCACUGCUACAUCGACAUUAACAGUCACUUCAAUUCAUAACACCACUAUUACAUCAACAUCAGCAGUCACUUCAAGUCAUGCCACCGCUACAACAUCAAUUUCAGUAGUCUCUUCAAGUGAUGACACCACUCCCUCAACAGUCCCUCCAAGUGAUGCCACCAAUCCCUCAACUGCAUCGACAUCAACUUCAAGAGAUGCCACCACUACUACAUCGACAUUAACAGUCAUUUUAAGCGAUUUCACCACUCCCUCAGAAACCACUUCAAGUCAUGCCACCACUCCCUCAUCUACAUCAAUAGUCACUUCAAGUGAUGCCACAGCUACUACAUCAACAUCAGCAGUCACUUCAAGCGAUAUCACUGUUCCUUCAACAUUUACUUCAAGUGGUGCCACCGCUACUACAUCAGCAUCAGCAUUCAGUUCAAGUGAUGCCAUCUCUCCCUCGACAUCAACAGUCUCUUCAAGUGAUGCCACCAGUACUAUAUCAACAUCAGCAGUCUCUUCAAGUGAUGCCACCAAUCCCUCAACUGCAUCGACAUCAACUUCAAAUGAUGCCCCCACUCCCUCAUCUACAUCAGCAGUCACUUCAAGCAAUAACACUGUUCCUUCAACAUUCAGUUCAAGUGGUGCCACCGCUACUACAUCAACAUCAGCAUUCAGUUCAAGUGAUGCCAUCUCUCCCUCGACAUCAACAGUCACUUUAAGUGAUGCCACCGCUACCACAUCAACAUCAACAUUCACUUCAAGUGAUGCCACCAGUAUAGCGACAGUCUCUUCAAGUGACUGCACCUCUCCUUCUACAUCAACAGUCACUUCAAGUAGUGCCACCACUACAUCGACAGUCUCUUCAAGUGAUGCCACCUCUCUCUCGACAUCAACAGUCACUUCAAGUGAUGCUCACACCACAUCAACAGUCCCUUCAAGCGAUGCCAGCACUCCCUCGACGUUAACAGUCACUUCAAGUGAUGCCACCAAUACAUCAACAGUCACUUCAGGUGAUGCUACUGCUACAUUGACAGUCUCUUCAAGUGAAGCCACCACUCCCUCAACAUCAACAGUCACUUCAAGUGAUGCAACCUCUCCCACAGCUACAUCUACAGUCACGCCAAGUAAUGCCACCUCUCCCUCGACAUCAACAGUCACUUCAAGUGAUACUACCAAUACAUCAACAAUCAGUUCAAGUGAUGCCACCACUACAUCGACAGUCCCUUCACGUGAUGCCACCUCUCCCUCAACUUCAACAGUCACUUCAAGUGAUGCAACCUCUCCCUCAACAACAUCUAGAGUCACUUCAAGCAAUGCCACCUCUCCGUCGACAUCAACAGUCACUUCAAGUGAUGCCACCUUUUCCUGGACCUCAACUGUCACUUCAAGUGAUGCCACCGCUUCCUCAACUACAUCAACAGUCAAUUCAAGUGAUGUCAUCACUACAUCAACAGUCAGUUCAAGUGAUGCUACCACUACAUCGACAGUCCCUUCAAGUGAUGCCACCACUACAUCUACAUCGACAGUCUCUUUAAGUGAUACCUCCACACCCUCGACUUUAACAUACACUUCAAGUGAUGCCACCACUCCCUCAACUACAUCUACAGUCACGCCAAGUAAUGCCACCUCUAAGGCAACAUCAACAGUCACUUCAAGUAAUGCCACCUCUAAGGCAACAUCAACAAUCACUUCAAGUAAUGCCACGUCUCCCUCGACAUCAACAGUCACUUCAAGUGAUACUUCCGCUACAUUGACAGUUACUUCAAGGGAUGCCACCUUUUACUGGACAUCAAGUGAUACCACCGCUUCCUCAACUACAUCAACAGUCACUUCAAGUGAUGCUACCACUACAUCGACAGUCUCUUCAAGUGAUACCACCACUACAUCAACAGUCACUUCAAGUGAUGCUACCACUACAUCGACAGUCCCUUCAAGUGAUCCCACCAAUACCUCGACAAUAACAGUCACUUCAAGAAAUGACACCUCUCCCUCGACAUCAACAGUCACUUCAAGGGAUGCCACCAAUACAUUGACAGUCGCAUCAAGUGAUGCUACCACUACAUUUACAGUCUCUUCAAGUGAUACCAACUCUCCCUCGACUUCAACAGUCACUUCAAGUGAUGCCUCCACUCCCUCGAUUUCAACAGUCACUUCAAGUGAUGCCACCACUACAUCGACAGUAUCUUCAAAUGAUUCCAACUCUCCCUCGACUUCAACAGUCCCUUCAAGUGAUGCCACCACUACAUCAACAGCCACCUCAAGUGAUGCUACCACUACAUCGACAGUCCCUUCAAGUGAUACCAAAACUCCCUCGACAUUAACAGUCACUUCAAGUAAUGCCACGUCUCCCUCGACAUCAACAGUCACUUCAAGUGAUACUACCAACACAUCGACAGUCUCUACAAGUGAUGCCUCCACUCCUUCGACAUCAACAGUCACUUCAAGUGAUGCCACCACUACAUCAACAGUCACUUCAAGUGAUGCUACCACUGCAUCGACAGUCCCUUCAAGUGAUACCACCACUCCCUCAACAUCAACAGUCACUUCAAGUGAUGCCACCAUUACAUCGACAGUCUCUACAAGUGAUGCCUCCACUGCUUCGACUUCAACCGUCACUUCAAGUGAUGCCACCACUACAUUAACAGUCACUUCAAGUAAUGCCACGUCUCCCUCGACAUCAACAGUCACUUCAAGAAAUGCCACCAAUACAUUGACAGUCUCUACAAGUGAUGCCUCCACUCCUUCGACAUUGACAGUCACUUCAAGUGAUGCUACCACUUCAUUGACAGCUACUUCAAGUGAUGCCACCUUUUACUGGACAUCAAGUGAUGCCACCACUUCCUCAACUACAUCAAUAGUCAUUCCAAGUGAUGUCACCUCUCACUCUACAUCAACAGUCACUUCAAGUAGUGCCACCACUACAUCGACAGUCAUUCCAAGUGAUGCCACCACUCACUCGACAUCAACAGUCACUUCAAGAGAUGCCACAUCUCCCUCGACAUCAAACGUCACGCCAAGUGAUGCCACCACUUCCUCAACUACAUCAACAGUCACUUCAAGUGAUGCUACCACUACAUCGACAGUCUCUUCAAGUGAUGCCUCCACUCCUUCGACUUCAACAGUCACUUCAAGUGAUACCACCUCUCCUUUGACAUCAACAGUCACUUCAAGUGAUGCCACCUCUCCUUUGACAUCAACAGUCACUUCAAGUGAUGCCACCUCUCCCUCGACAUCAACAGUAUUUUCAAGUGAUGACACCACUCCCUCGACAUUAAAAGUCACUUCAAGUAAUGCCACGUCUACCUCGACAUCAACAGUCACUUCAAGUGAUGCCACCAAUACAUCAACAGUCACUUCAAGUGAUGCUACCACUACAUUGACAGUCACAUCAAGUGAUGCUACCACUACAUCGACAGUCCCUUCAAGUGAUCCCACCACUUCCUCGACAUUAACAGUCACUUCAAGAAAUGCCACCUCUCCCUCGACAUCAACAGUCACUUCAAGUGAUGCCACCAAUACAUCAACAGUCACUUCAAGUGAUGCUACCACUACAUUGACAGUCACAUCAAGUGAUGCUACCACUACAUCGACAGUCUCUUCAAGUGAUGCCUCCACUCCUUCAACUUUAACAGUCACUUCAAGUGAUGCAACCUCUACAUCAACAGUCACUUCAAGUGAUGCCACCAAUACAUCAACAGUCACUUCAAGUGAUGCUACCACUACAUUGACAGUCACAUCAAGUGAUGCUACCACUACAUCGACAGUCUCUUCAAGUGAUGCCUCCACUCCUUCAACUUUAACAGUCUCUUCAAGUGAUGCCUCCACUCCUUCAACUUUAACAGUCACUUCAAGUGAUGCCACCACUACAUCAACAGUCACUUCAAGUGAUCCCACCACUACAUCGACAGUCCCUUCAAUUGAUCCCACCACUACCUCGGCAUUAACAGUCACUUCAAGUGAUGUCACCACUCCCUCAACAUCAACCGUCACUUUAAGUGAUGCAACCUCUCCCUCAACUACAUCUACAGUCACGCCAUGUAAUGCCACCUCUCCCUCGACAUCAACAGUCAGUUCAAGUGAUACUUCCACUACAGCAAUAGUCAUUCCAAGUGAUGUCACCUCUCCCUCUACAUCAACAGUCACUUCAAGUAGUGCCACCACUACAUCGACAGUCAUUCCAAGUGAUGCCACCACUCACUCGACAUCAACAGUCACUUCAAGAGAUGCCACAUCUCCCUCGACAUCAAACGUCACGCCAAGUGAUGCCACCACUUCCUCAACCACAUCAACAGUCACUUCAAGAAAUGACACCUCUCCCUCGACAUUAACAGUCACUUCAAGUGAUACCACCAAUACAUCGACAGUCUCUACAAGUGAUGCCACCACUCCCUCAACUACAUCUACAGUCAUGCCAAGUAAUGCCACCUCUAAGUCAACAUCAACAGUCACUUCAAGUGAUACUUCCGCUACAUUGACAGUUACUUCAAGGGAUGCCACCUUUUACUGGACAUCAAGUGAUACCACCGCUUCCUCAACUACAUCAACAGUCACUUCAAGUGAUGCUACCACUACAUCGACAGUCUCUUCAAGUGAUGCCUCUACUCCUUCGACUUCAACAGUCACUUCAAGUGAUACCACCGCUUCCUCAACUACAUCAACAGUCACUUCAAGUGAUGCUACCACUACAUCGACAGUCCCUUCAAGUGAUCCCACCAAUACCUCGACAAUAACAGUCACUUCAAGAAAUGACACCUCUCCCUCGACAUCAACAGUCACUUCAAGUGAUACCACCACUACAUCAACAGUCACUUCAAGAAAUGCCACCAAUACAUCGACAGUCUCUACAAGUAAUGCCUCCACUCCUUCGACAUCAACAGUCACUUCAAGUGAUGCUGCCACUACAUUGACAGUCACUUCAAGUGAUGCUACCACUACAUUGACAGUCUCUUCAAGUGAUGCCACCACUCCCUCAACAUCAACAGUCACUUCAAGUGAUGCAACCUCUAACUCAACUACAUCUACAGUCACGCCAAGUAAUGCCACCUCUAAGUCAACAUCAACAGUCAGUUCAAGAGAUACUACCACCACAGCAACAGUCAGUUCAAUUGAUGCUACCACUACAUUGUCAGUAUCUUCAAGUGAUGCCACCUCUCCCUCGACUUCAACAGUCACUUCAAGUGAUGCUACCACUGCAUCGACAGUCCCUUCAAGUGAUACCACCACUCCCUCGACAUUAACAGUCACUUCAAGUAUUGCCACGUCUCCCUCGACAUCCACAGUCACUUCAAGUGAUACUACCACUACAUCGACAGUAUCUUCAAAUGAUACCAACUCUCCCUCGACUUCAACAGUCACUUCAAGUGAUGCCACCACUACAUCAACAGUCACCUCAAGUGAUGCUACCACUACAUCGACAGUCCCUUCAAGUGAUCCCACCACUACCUCGACAAUAACAGUCACUUCAAGAAAUGACACCUGUCCCUCGACAUCAACAGUCACUUCAAGGGAUGCCACCAAUACAUUGACAGUCGCAUCAAAUGAUGCUACCACUACAUUUACAGUCUCUUCAAGUGAUACCAACUCUCCCUCGACUUCAACAGUCACUUCAAGUGAUGCCUCCACUCCCUCGACUUCAACAGUCACUUCAAGUGAUGCAACCACUACAUCGACAGUAUCUUCAAGUGAUGCCUCCACUCCCUCGACUUCAACAGUCACUUCAAGUGAUGCCACCACUACAUCGACAGUAUCUUCAAAUGAUACCAACUCUCCCUCGAUUUCAACAGUCACUUCAAGAAAUGACACCUCCCCCUCGACAUCAACAGUCACUUCAAGUGAUGCCACCACUACAUCAACAGUCACCUCAAGUGAUGCUACCACUACAUCGACAGUCCCUUCAAGUGAUACCAAAACUCCCUCGACAUUAACAGUCACUUCAAGUAAUGCCACGUCUCCCUCGACAUCAACAGUCACUUCGAGUGAUACUACCACUACAGCAACAGUCACUUCAAGUGAUGCCACCACUACAUCGACAGUAUCUUCAAAUGAUACCAACUCUCCCNNNNNNNNNNNNNNNNNNNNNNNNNNCCCUCGACAUCAACAGUCACUUCAAGUGAUGCCACCACUACAUCAACAGUCACCUCAAGUGAUGCUACCACUACAUCGACAGUCCCUUCAAGUGAUACCAAAACUCCCUCGACAUUAA